AUGGUAGUAGUAGAAACUGAAGUUCUCUUUUUGAAUCCGCAGGAUAGAUAACAGUUGGGCCACACCAGUGUGAGUCUCUCCAUGUUGCCCCAAUAGUGACCUGGAGGGACUUUCUUCCCUCUUUUAGAGAGAGGAUAGGGUGUUUGGUCCAUAGCACCUCAGUUCUGGUCCUCU
rnacentral:sRNA from 1 species